UCCAUGGAGUAGGGCAAGAACAUUUACAACCCUUUCCAAGCCACGCCAUGCGAAAACCUCAUGGCAUAAAGGCUGGUGGAGGUGGAGCAACCGAGUCCUCCGGUGCCCGUUGGUGUGCUGUGAGCUCCCGGACCAGAAACGCAGCCCUGCACUGCUUAGUAAAAGAUGCUCCUUCCAGCCCAUGGAUUCUUCCAGAGCAGGGAGGAUUCAUUACCGAUUUCGCUCCUAACACGUGGUAGGCACGCAAUAAAUAUGUAUGAAGUGAGUAGAUAGAACUCUGUGUGUAAGCAGCUUGCUUGUCCCAAACAAGAAAAUCAAGCAGGCAUUUUUCCCAUCUACUUGACACAAGGCAGCUCCCUCGGGCCCGUGUGCGGUGGCAAUUAAGCCAACUUGGCAAUGCCGAAGCCCUUGGACCACCCUGUGCCUUGGAGUUGGUGGCUGUGCUUCCCCUCCUUCCCUGUCCACCCGAGUCUCCGGCGGGAUCCUGCUCACGCCUGACAUCUCCCUGGAGGCCUCUUGUGCACUUAGCGCCCUGUCUGCCCGUCCAGGUGGGACAGGCAUGGCCGCCCGAGAGGGAGGGCCCCACGUUUUCCUUUGCUGACUUCUGUUUUGUUUCCUGGAGCAGCAGAUCUCUGACCUGGGGGUUCAGCAUGAGAGGGUCCCUGGCCGGGGGCUGCGCUGCCCUGGGGGUCUAGUGGAGUUUCCCCCUCCUCUCCCUUAGGCCGGUGCUUAAGGCCCUCAUGGUGCUGUCUUCUCUUCUGGGAUCCCUUCCCCACCAGUACCUUGUCCCAUGGGGCUUCCCCUGCCCGAGUCCUCCCACCCACCCUUGUUCUUUCAAAGAUUCUCCUGGGUUCCAUUUUCUUGGCUCUUUUGUUUUAAUACAGUUAAAUCAACAGCCUGUGCCCAGAUCAGCUGUGAGCUCGCAGGGUGCAGAAGUGAAUGAAUGAAAAAGACCCUUGGUCCCUGGUCUCUCUUUCUGAGAUGCGUGUGGAACACAGCAACCAAGUAAACUGCACAACUCUUAGGAGACAGUUCCUUUCAGGGAGAGUACAGCUGGUGCACGAAGACGGGCAGGUGACCAAGCAGCUGGGAUGGAACGUGACGGUGACACGAAACAGGAAGGUUCCACGUGCCUGGCUCUGUGCGAAUGUCGCAGAGGAAGUUCGUGGGCAGAGGCACAGAGGUGGCACAUUCACCGAAUGUUUGGGAAGAAGCAAGUGGCUUCCCGGUGGCCUGGAUGUAAGGUACAAGGGCGGUAAAUGCCUGGGGAGUGGGGCACAGGCCAAAGAAGACUCAGUUUCCAUUUUCCCAUUUAUGUCUUUCCAGAGGUUACUUGGGCAAGAUAAAUGAGUACGGUCACUUUCUGCUGUUGAGUUCCAACCAGUAAAAAUGUAUGUGGUGGGAGCCCACACCAUGGCCUAAUAGCAGGUAAAGCUGCUGCCUGCAGUGCCGGCAUCCCAUAUGGGCGCUGGUUCGAAUCCCAGCUGCUCCUCUUCCAAUCCAGCUCUCUGCUAUGGUCUUGGAAAACAGUAGAAGAUGACCCAAGUCCUUGGGCCGCUGCACCCAUGUGGGAGACCCGGAAGAAGCUCCUGGCUCCUGGCUUUGGAUCGGUGCAACUCCGGCCAUUGCAGCCAUUUGGGGAGUGAACCAGUGGGAUGGAAGAUCUCUCUCUGUGCCUCUGCCUCUCUGUAACUCUGUCUUUCAAAUAAAUAAAUAAAUAUUUAAAAAAAUGCA
ensembl:lncRNA